rnacentral:tRNA from 1 species
GCCCUCUUCGCAUAGUGGUCGAUUGCACGCGCCUUGUAAGCGUGUAGAGAAAUCUCACGUCAGUUCGAAUCUGACAGAGGGCUCA